rnacentral:misc_RNA from 1 species
GAUGAAGAACGCAGCGAAAUGCGACAAGUAAUGUGAAUUGCAGAAUUCCGUGAAUCAUCGAAUCUUUGAACGCACAUUGCGCCCUCUGGUAUUCUGGCGGGCAUGCCUGUCUGAGCGUCAUUUCAACCCUCAAGCAACUUCUGCUUGGUGUUGGGGAUCGGCCGUCAAACGCCGCCCCCGAAAUCUAUUGGCGAUCUCGCUGUAGCUUCCUAUGCGUAGUAGUAACAUCUCGCAUCUGGAGAGCGGCGCGGUCAUGCCGUAAAACACCCAACUUCUCAGGUUGACCUCAGAUCAGGUAGGAAUACCCGCUGAACUUAAGCAUAUCAAUAAGCGGAGGA